AACGCACAUUGCGCUCCCUGGCAUUCCUAGGAGCAUGUCUGUCUGAGCGUCAGUACACACCCUCCGCCGCCUCCUUUUUUUCAGGAGGUGGUGGGUCCUGAGCGGGGAAGAGCGAGAGUUCACUCCCCCUCUAAAGUGGAAUGACAGCGGUCCGCCUGCCCGUGAAAGACGUAGUAAGAUCCGAUCAGAAUCGUCCGCGAACGGGAGUGGGUAGAGGCCUGCCUCGAGACACAUCGAAAUCUGAAGGUUUGACCUCAGAUCAGACAAGAAUACCCGCUGAACUUAA
rnacentral:misc_RNA from 1 species